UAAAAGAGCUUUUUUUUUUUUUUUUAGCUUUCCAAGACACGGUACCAUGUAGUCUGAGCUGACCUCAAAUUUACCAUGUAGCAAAGGAUAACCUCAAACUCCUGGUUCUCCUGCUUCCCAAGUACUGGGGUCACCACAUCCAGCAAAAUUGAUUCAAAGGUUAUUUGAUGACCUAUUUUCUUUGUUGUUGUUUUCGGAACUAUCUCACUAUGUAGCCUAGGCUCAUCCCAUACUGUCAGUGAUCCUUCUGCCUCAGGCUUCUGAGCACUGGGAUUACAGUCAUCUACCAUCACACUUGGGAGGAGUUGGAGAAGUUUUAGAAGCUGACAGGACCCCAGACCAUGAAGAAAGCUUCUGCCUAGCCCAGAGCAGAACAAUUUAGAGGGACAGCGUCUGGACCACGAACACAAACCAAACAUCAGAACAUGCUUUUUCUGAUUCCUGAUCCAGGACUUGGGUCACUGGACACAGACUUGGGGACAGGAGAAGCUGCCUGGAGAGGAUGGAGCGGAUCUACAGAUCUGCCCCGCAAUUUGACUACAGACGACAUCAAAUUAACCCCUGUCUCCUUGAACUUCAGAUUAUGUUACUGGCAACUAGACUUUGUACUCAAGCAUCAACUCAGAGAGGCAACAUCUGAGUUUCCUUUUGGUUUAUAUUAAAUUACUUCCAGUUUUA